GAAAGGAGGAAAUUUACACAUUAUUGGCUAGCAGCUUGGACUUCUUCCAGUCCUAUCUGAAAGAAAACUAUGGCCACAUCGAGAUGGCUGGUUUAGCAGCAGAAGUCACCACAGAGGGUCAUGUGUGGACCACUGAGGCAACAAAAGUAAAAUUUAUUUGGGAUUAAAAGUUAACAGACCGUUGUGCAACCCGGUGAUAAUCUUGUAUUAAAGGAAGUUCUUAUGUAGUAAGCGCAAG